GACGAACGCUGGCGGCGUGCUUAACACAUGCAAGUCGAACGGAAAGGCCCUGCUUUUGUGGGGUGCUCGAGUGGCGAACGGGUGAGUAACACUUGGGUUACCUGCCCUUGACUUUGGGAUAACUUCAGGAAACUGGGGCUAAUACCGGAUAGGAUCUCCUGCUGCAUGGUGGGGGUUGGAAAGUUUCGGCGGUUGGGGAUGGACUCGCGGCUUAGCAGAUUGUUGGUGGGGUAGUGGCUUACCAAGGCUUUGACGGGUAGCCGGCCUGAGGGGGUGACCGGCCCAAUUAGGCCUGAGAUACGGCACAGACCACUCCGGGAGGCAAGGGUGGAGAAUAGUGUACAAUGGGCGGAAGCAUGACGCAGCACAGCCGCGUGCGGGAUGACGUCCUUCGGGUUGUAAACCGAUUUCGCCUGUGCCGAAGCGUGAGUGACGGUAACGGGUAAAGAAGCACCGGCUAACUACGUG
rnacentral:rRNA from 1 species